rnacentral:lncRNA from 1 species
CCUCAAUUUGCUUUCGUUUUCAGUUAUUCUAGGUUUUUUUUGAUAGUAGAUAUCACUGUUCAUUCUUUCUAUCAGUCUGGCAAUAUUGGUUUUAGCUUUGGUAUUUCUGUCUCAUGUCCAUGCCCAGUGUUUUAAGUAGUUGUCCAGUUCGCAAUAUAACUUUAUUUUCUUCCUGUUUUCCUCUUUACACUGUCAGAACCAUAGAUAAGUCCUGCACCAUCCUAUUUCUGGAUAAUUACAGCAGCAUAUAACUCUUCUCUGCCACAACCUUUCUUUUGCAAUAAACUAUGCUAUAUAUUACUAUUAAAACAAGUCUUCUAAAACAUCUGUUUUCAUGUGAUCUCUUUCUAAAAACUUACAGUGAUUUCUUCUUGCCCACCAUAUCAUUUAAAGAUUUCCAUUGAGUUUCAAAGGUCUCAAUAUUCUAGCCACAUAUAUUCAUUCCAAUUCUAUUUCUUGCUGUUCAUCACUAUUCAAUAUCCAUCCAAACCAGUAGGUGCUAUACUAUUUGCCUUAUAUUUUUUGGUCCUACUUAUGUUUCUGCUUUGUUCCUACUUUAUAUCUUUCCUGCCACUUCCAUCUUCAGAUCCUACUUAAUUACACUUAACCCUUUUUAAAAUUAUGGCUCAACUCAAUGUACCACGAAACAUUCUUUGCUACUCUAGUUCACAUUGCCCUACUCUAGUUCAGAUUGCCCCUUUCUUGACCUCAUGUUAUAUAAUGAAUUCUGUAUGAUCUUAAUUUUUUUGCUAUGCAG